rnacentral:rRNA from 1 species
AUUGAACGCUGGCGGCAGGCCUAACACAUGCAAGUCGAACGAGUGGCGGACGGGUGAGUAAUGUCUGGGUAACUUCCCGAUGUAGUGGGAUAACUCCUGGAAACGGUAGCUAAUACCGCCUACCAUCGGAUGUGCCCAGAUGGGAUUAGCUAGUAGGUGGGGUAAUGGCUCACCUUGGCGACGAUCCCUAGCUGGUCUGCGAGGAUGACCAGCGACACGGGAACGGAGACACGGUCCAGACUCCUACGGGCGGCAGCAGUGGGGAAUAUGGCACAAUGGGCGCAAGCCUGAUGCAGCCAUGCCGCGUGUAUGAAGAAGGCCUUCGGGUUGUAAAGUACUUUCAGCGGGGAGGCGUUACCCGCAGAAGAAGCACCGGCUAACUCCGUGCCAGCAGCCGCGGUAAUAC